rnacentral:rRNA from 1 species
AGGGUUCGAUUCUGGCUCAGGAUGAACGCUGGCGGCGCGCCUAACACAUGCAAGUCGAACGAUUAAAGCACCUUCGGGUGUGUAUAAAGUGGCGAACGGCUGAGUAACACGUGGGCAACCUGCCCCUCGCUCAGGGAUAGCCUCGGGAAACCGGGGGUAAUACCUGAUAAUCCGUACUUCCCGCAUGGGUUGUACGGCAAAGCCCAGACGGCGAGGGAUGGGCCCGCGGCCUGUUAGCUUGUUGGUGGGGUAACGGCCUACCAAGGCGACGAUGGGUAGCCGGGUUGAGAGACCGACCGGCCAGAUUGGGACUGAGACACGGCCCAG